rnacentral:rRNA from 1 species
GAUCCUGGCUCAGGAUGAACGCUAGCUACAGGCUUAACACAUGCAAGUCGAGGGGAAACGACAUCGAAAGCUUGCUUUUGAUGGGCGUCGACCGGCGCACGGGUGAGUAACGCGUAUCCAACCUGCCCACCACUUGGGGAUAACCUUGCGAAAGUAAGACUAAUACCCAAUGACGUCUCUAGAAGACAUCUGAAAGAGAUUAAAGAUUUAUCGGUGAUGGAUGGGGAUGCGUCUGAUUAGCUUGUUGGCGGGGUAACGGCCCACCAAGGCGACGAUCAGUAGGGGUUCUGAGAGGAAGGUCCCCCACAUUGGAACUGAGACACGGUCCAAACUCCUACGGGAGGCAGCAGUGAGGAAUAUUGGUCAAUGGGCGAGAGCCUGAACCAGCCAAGUAGCGUGCAGGAUGACGGCCCUAUGGGUUGUAAACUGCUUUUAUAAGGGAAUAAAGUGAGCCUCGUGAGGCUUUUUGCAUGUACCUUAUGAAUAAGGACCGGCUAAUUCCGUG